rnacentral:rRNA from 1 species
AGUGAGAUCUUCGGAUUGGAGCCGCCGCGGUCGGCAACGGCCAGGUGGAUUUCGAGAAGUUGUUCAAACCAGAUCAUUUAGAGGAAGAAAAGUCGGAACAAGGUUUCCGGAGGUGAACCUGCGGAAGGAUCAUUAC